CACGCCAUCAGCUACGACGGAAGGCAGGUACAAGUCAACAUUCUUUGUAAGCCAAUCGAUCAAGCUUUCUUCCUCGGUCGAUUUUUCUUCAUAAACACGUUCUAUUUGGAUCCAUUUAUCGUCCUCGUGCUCGUGCUUGCUGCAAUCAUCAUGAGAAUGCUCUUGACUGUUCGCCAUCUUGUACUAUAUUAUACAAGUCAACUGGUCUUGUUUAUAUAACAUGUAAUUAAUUAAUUAUUGAUUG
rnacentral:lncRNA from 1 species